GGCCGCCUGGCGAAAUGGCAUCGCGUCUGACUACGAUCGUGUUGUAAUCAGGAGAUUGCAGGUUCGACCCCUGCGGUGGUCA
rnacentral:tRNA from 1 species